rnacentral:rRNA from 1 species
AUUGAACGCUGGCGGCAGGCCUAACACAUGCAAGUCGAGCGAGCGGCGGACGGGGGAGUAAUGUCUGGGGAACUGCCUGAUGGGGGGGGAUAACUCCUGGAAACGGUAUCUAAUACCGCAUACCAUCAGAGGUGCGCCGAUGGGAUUAGCUAGUAGGGGGGGUAACGGCUCACCUAGGCGACGAUCCCUAGCUGGUCUGAGAGGAUGACCAGCCACACUGGAACUGAGACACGGUCCAGACUCCUACGGGAGGCAGCAGUGGGGAAUAUUGCACAAUGGGCGCAAGCCUGAUGCAGCCAUGCCGCGUGUGUGAAGAAGGCCUUCGGGUUGUAAAGCACUUUCAGCGGGGAGGCGUUACCCGCAGAAGAAGCACCGGCUAACUCCGUGCCAGCAGCCGCGGUAAUAC